UACGAAGGGACCUAGCGUAGUUCGGAAUUACUGGGCUUAAAGAGUUCGUAGGUGGUUGAAAAAGUUGGUGGUGAAAUCCCAGAGCUUAACUCUGGAACUGCCAUCAAAACUUUUCAGCUAGAGUAUGAUAGAGGAAAGCAGAAUUUCUAGUGUAGAGGUGGAAUUCGUAGAUAUUAGAAAGAAUACCAAUUGCGAAGGCAGCUUUCUGGAUCAUUACUGACACUGAGGAACGAAAGCAUGGGUAGCGAAGAGGAUUAGAUACCCUCGUAGUCCAUGCCGUAAACGAUGUGUGUUAGACGUUGGAAAUUUAUUUUCAGUGUCGCAGCGAAAGCGAUAAACACACCGCCUGGGGAGUACGACCGCAAGGUUAAAACUCAAAUGAAUUGACGGGGACCCGCACAAGUAGUGGAGCAUGUGGUUUAAUUCGAAGAUACGCGCAGAACCUUACCAACACUUGACAUGUUCGUCGCGACUCUAAGAGAUUAGAGUUUUCGGUUCGGCCGGACGAAACACAGGUGCUGCAUGGCUGUCGUCAGCUCGUGUCGUGAGAUGUUGGGUUAAGUCCCGCAACGAGCGCAACCCUCACUUUUAGUUGCCAUCAUUUAGUUGGGCACUCUGAAAGAACUGCCAGUGAUAAGCUGGAGGAAGGUGGGGAUGACGUCAAGUCCUCAUGGCCCUUACGUGUUGGGCUACACACGUGCUACAAUGGUAUCUACAACAGGAAGCAAGACGGCGACGUCAAGCAAAUCCUUAAAAGAUACCUCAGUUCGGAUUGCACUCUGCAACUCGAGUGCAUGAAGCUGGAAUUACUAGUAAUCGUGGAUCAGCGUGCCACGGUGAAUGCGUUCCCGGGUCU
rnacentral:rRNA from 1 species